CCGGGGGAUGGGGGAGGGAACAGUCCCUCCUAUUCAUCACUGUUGGAGGGGGGUGUCUGGGAGGAGGAGCCACAGGCCUCUUUUUAUUUUCAUGUUUGGAGGAUCUGUCCUGGUUAUUUCAAGGAUAAGGUGAGUUCCUUAAAUUUCCUAAGAAGUUGUCCUAUGAGUGUAGGUCCUAAAUUGUACUGUUCUUAUAAAGACACAGUGGGCCACCUAGGAGAAGAAUAUAAAAGGUAGAGGCUCCAUGUCUGGGUAUAUGCCCAAGAGAAAUUAAAACGUAAGUCAACGUGAAGAUUUAUACAUGAAUGUUCAUAGCAGCAUUGCUCAUAGCAGCCAAAAAGUGUAAACAACACACAUGUCCCUCAACUGAUGAAUGGAAAAAUAAAAUGUGGCACUGUAUGUCUCUACCAGAGAAUAUUAUUCAGCACUGAAAAGGAAUGAAGUAUUGAUACUUGGUACAACAUGGAUAAUCUUGAAAAUAUACUAGACAAGGAAGCCAGUCACAAAAUGACAAAUAUUAUCUGAUCCAAGUUAUAUGACAUGUCCAGAAUAAGCAAACUAAUAGAGACAGAAAACAGCUUAGUGGCUACCAGGGGCUGGGAGGAGGAAGUAAGUGACGGGGAGUGACUUCUUAAUGAGUCAGGUUUUCCCUUAGGAAUGACAACAAUGUUCUGGAAGCAGGUAGUAGUGACGGUUGCAUAACAUUGUGUACAAACUCAGUGCCACUGAAUUGUACACCAUAAAAUAUUUUAAGUGGUGAUUUUUGUGUUAUGUUUAUUUUACCACACAAAAGGGAAUGCAGUAUUGAUACAUACAAUAACAUCAAUGAAAGAAACUUGAAAACAUUGCAUUGAGUGAAAGAAGCCAGUAUGGAAGAUCACACAUUGCAUGAGUUGUAUGAAAUGUCCAGAAUAGGUUUGUCUAUUAAGACAGAAACAGUAGUCAAUAUUAGGAGCUGAUGGGAAGAGGUUGGAAACCGAUGGCUAGCAGCUGUGGGGUUUCUUCUUGUAGUAAUGAAAAUGAUCUAAAAUGGAUUACGGUGAUAGUUGUAUGACUCUGUGAAUAUACUAAAAGCCACUGAAUUGUACACUUAAAAGGAAUUAAUCAUAUGGUAUGUGAAUUAUAUCUCAAUAAAGCUGUUACACACACACACACACACACACACACACCAGUACCUAGACAGCAGGGUUCCAUGAACCACCUCUCAAGCAAUACAGGCAGAAAAUACGACUGAUUUAGCUUGCAUAAUGCUAGGUGAGGUGCCGAGACUCAAAACACCUGGGCUCCACACUAGGACAUAAAUUUUUUACUAAUUAGAGGACAAAAAGAAGGCUUUGGAUGUGGGCAUUGGAUCCUUCCCUCAAAUGUGCUGUGACUUCUUCCCCAUGAGACUUAGUGUGCUGGGCAGAGGAAGAAAGAGAGAAGGACAAAGAGAAACAGACAUGGAUGGCAUGAUGUCA
rnacentral:lncRNA from 1 species